UUUUUAAAACUUCUCCAAUAGUAUCGGGCCAUUACUAUGUCAAUCAACGCUUGACUAUAUGCGUAGUUCAUUUUUGAUGCCAACACAGUCGCAACAGUCCCAUUAGUUUUCAUUGCUGCCUCGUUUGAAUGCCGCGGUUGCGCAAAUUUGUACGGAAUGGGGUUAGUCAACAGUAGCUAGCUAGCAUAAUCAUUAGAAAAGUAAUCAUUCAUCUGCUAAGACCUAGCAACUGACAUAAAUCCCAUGAUUUAUUGUUCACCCAGUUAGAACUGGAGUUUUAGUCGAACCACGACUGAAGGCUGCAAUCCACUCCCAGUUAGACGGGGUCUGUUCAGGCCUCUGUCAGCUCCACAAUGCCCUGGGGGACAUGAAGGACAUCCAGAACUCUGGCAGAAGUCAGCAAUGACUGGAGGCAAGGCAUCAACACCAUUGAACGUGCAGUAUGUAAAAUAUGCUGGGAUGCAACACAGUCAGCUAACCUCAGCCAUGGAGAACUUGGAAGAAUAUAUUUUCAGGUAUGUUCAGCUGCACCCAUUACAUGCCAUUUGGUUGGGAACUAUUAUUGUUGGCUUGCAUUGCAUUUGAUGUGAGACUGUACUGCUACAUUGUAUUAGUGUAUUGUCCCUCAACUGGGUCCUCAAUUAAUACUUACAAAAGUAUGUCUGUACUGCUCUCGGUGACUCAUGUAUAGGGCCCUGUGUUUUGGUUAACAGUUUCACUAAGCAGCUACCCUCAUACAACUUGUUUGAAGGUGAAAUCACAGUAGGAGAAAACCUAAGAUUUUAGUUACAGCAGCACACUGACAUUAUAAAAGGCAAGAGGUUGAAUGGGCCAACAUGAAGGGUGACUACCUCAUGAAGCUGGUUGAGAGAAUGCCAAGAGUGUGCAAAGCUGUCAAGGCAAAGGGUGACUACUUUGAAGAAUCUCAACUAUCAAAUAUAUUUUGAUUUGUUUAACACUUUUUUUGUUUACUUCAUGAUUCCAUAUGUGUUAUUUCAUAGUUUUGAUGUCUUCACUAUUAUUCUACAAUGUUAAAAAUAGUCAAAAUAAAGAAAAACCCAUGAAUGAGUAGGUGUGUCCAAACUGGUACUGUAACUCCAAAUAAAACAUUUGAAC
ensembl:lncRNA